AGGGAGGGCUAAACUGAGGAUCACCACCUCAGACCCAUUAUUCCACACCACUGACCACACCAUGUAUCCUCUGGGUGGUUAGCCCGGCAUCCUGGGUGACUAAACUGGGGCACGUAUACCUUUCGUGCUGCACCUCAGCCAGUUACAUAUGCUCUUAUCUAUGAGCCUCCUCAGGAAUGACCUUGUUUGCAAUAUUUUAUUGCCUACCUCAGUGUGCAUGUUGGCAGUCGA